UAGGUUACAAGGCUGUCUUGGAAGCCCUAAAUCUUUGCUUAUUAGAAGCAAUAUGUAACACAUGCAUUGGGUCCAAUGACAUAUGUAUUUCUCUUUUCCCAAAUUUUUUUCAUUUGUAAUGUUUUUUUCUCUCUCUUCUCUCCCUCUCUCUCUCGUACGCUCUCUCUUUUCUCACCAUCACUUUCAUCUCUCCUCCCUGCCUCAUCUCCUCCUCCACCACCGCAUCCACCACAACCUCCACCACCACCUACAAAUCGAUCUCCAAAUCAGAACGUCCUCUCCGCUUCCGGUGAUGCCGCCGUCAUCAGAAUCACGUUAUUCUUCCUCUCAGGUUCCUCGUGUCAAUUUGCUCAUAAACUUUGUAGAAAUCAUAACUCUUAUUGCUGCAGCUGCAACAGAAAUUGGGAAUUGGAGGAAGUAUGUGAAACCCGUAUUCUGGACAGGGGCUCACUAAAACGGUAACUGCUCUUUCUCUAUAACUCCGAAUUUAGUGUGGUUUGUCUCUAUGGUUAGCUAACGAAAUUCCGGUCGUUCCGACGCCAAUAUUAUGAAUUAUGGAGCUGUAAUGAAUCCUGCAGACGCGUUUGAAGUUCAGGGUCAGAUGCAGAAUUUUGGGUUUGAGGUUAGCAUCAUGAUCAUCAUCUUGAGCUACUGGGAAUUCUAUGGAGUAGCUCAUUUCUUAAAGUUUCUGAGUUAAUCUCAUUCAGGUGGGUUCCUUUAGGAAAAACUCACUUUAAUAGAGUAGCUUUAAUAGUUUUCCCCAAAUUCAAUUAUGCAUGUUAACUUAGGGAUUUAGGAUUAAUUAGGAAAACUCUUGAAUUGAAUUAAUUAAUGACUUAAACAAUACAUAAGCUAAAUUGAACUCUGCAAUAUUUUCGAUUAUUUUGUAGUUUUUUUUUGUGUGUAGGUUUUGAUAUGUGAUUUCUUGAAUCCAUCAUGGGACAAGAGUGAGUAACAUGAAAUUUGAGUUUAUUCUGGACAGGGGCUCACUAAAACGGUAACUGCUCUUUCUCUAUAACUCCGAAUUUAGUGUGGUUUGUCUCUAUGGUUAGCUAACGAAAUUCCGGUCGUUCCGACACCAAUAUUAUGAAUUAUGGAGCUGUAAUGAAUCCUGCAGACGCGUUUGAAGUUCAGGGUCAGGUGCAGAAUUUUGAGUUUGAGGUUAGCAUCAUGAUCAUCAUCUUGAGCUACUGGGAAUUCUAUGGAGUAUGUGUUUCCUAUACUACUGUCAGCUUCCUCAGCAUAAUCUUGCUACCAAUAGUUGGCAAUGCAGCUGAACAUGCAGGAGCAAUCAUUUUUGCUUUCAAGAACAAGCUGAUCAGAAGAGAGUUUUUUAUUGCUGUCAAAGUUUUUUAGCUGCUUAUUUCUCAAGGAUACAAAAAAUGUUUGUGGUAGGCCUGGUAUUCAAAUGCGGAUAAACUCGUGGCAAGACGGAGUUCUUGGUACUAAUUGUCUGAUUCCUCCUAAAUGGAAUUGGACAUAUCAGUUUCAAGUCAAGGAUCAAAUUGGGAGUUUCUUUUGAAAUUAAUUCUAAUCUGUCUUUUGAAAUUCAUAUAUUUAAAGUUAACUCUGACCUACUGUACAGGCAUUAUCAUGAUUUUUUUUUCCACAAGGUGAGGCUUGGCGAUAAAGGGUGAGGCAGCAAGCGUUUGUGAUUACGAGUAAAGUUAGAAGAUAAUGAAUCUGACUCUAUGAGCAUGAGAGAGGAGACUUGGGACGCUGCACUAUAGCUGGAUAAUGGUGGUGAUGUGAAAUGUGGUUCUCUGUUAUUUUAUAUGAUUCGGUUGCUCCAAGGGAUUAAUUUGAUUCUUUAGUUACCUGCUACAAUGGUUUAGUUUGAGCACUUACAAGCAAGGGGCAGGCUGAGGAAGGAGUGAAGGCAGUGAGAAAAAUAGGAAGAUAAGUAAGGUUAUGGAUGCAACCCUUGAAGAUUUAGAGUGAGUUUAUAUGUGUUACAAGGUUUUGUGCAUCUUUAUUCCAUAAUUAUUUGCAUAUACUUAUCCACCUUCAUCGUUCUUAGUGUAGAGGUAAUAGGGUGCAUUGCACUUUGUGGGAUGAUUUUGCUCUAAAUAUGCAGAAAUUCUUGGAUAUACUCAUGAUUCAUCCCUACCUAUGGUAAUCAUAAUACAACUAUGCAAGCUUAAGAAGUACCUUAGUAGGAAAAUACUUCAUUUUCACCUAUUGUUUGAAAUAUAGCUCUGGUGGUUUAUUUUUUUGUUUCCAUUUGAGUAUGUGCUAUGUAAAUUUCAAAUUCUUUUUAUGGAUCAGAAUUGUUGUUGAAUGCUCAGAUUCCUGAAGUAUCUAAUUAUAUAGAAACUUAGAAAGUUGAGUCAAGUGGUUAAUCAAAUGAUCGGACCAGUGAUGCAUAGUGUCGUCGAUGAUUUGCUGUAGACCCCAAAGAUGACUAUUGAGGAUCUCAUUGAAUCUACCGAGAUAAAUUUGGAACCCAUGUUGGUGAAUCAUAAUUGCUACUUUGUAGGGGAGGGGGGAUAGGUAUUUAUGGUUAUUACUAUUUUAUAGGGAUGACUACAUCAUCAUUGCUACUUUUUAGGAAGUCUUGAGUAUCCAACCCUGUAUUUUUGCAUAACUCCUUCACUAAUCCACGCAUAUUUUCUCAUUGAUCAAAUACACCACUCUUCUAAUUUUCUUUUCUAUUCAUCUCCUCUGUGUUUCGUCUAUCCUAUCUCAAUACCAUCUUCGUCUAACCCUUCAUUUCCCAUAUGGCAUCCUAUCUCACAUAAUUAAAUGACUGUUAUAAAACCCAAUCCAGGAAAGAAAGAAAAAAAGUCGGACUCUUAUCUUUCUUGCCUUAGAUGGCUGGCUUUGGAAACAGAGAUAUGACAUGCUUUGUUGUAAUUUUGAAUGCUUUAAUAUACAUUACUUAAUUGCUUCAAUCUUUGCUUAUGAUACUAAGUAAAAAAAAAGUUCUCAACAACUUAAAUUAGGGAUAAGUAUGAAGUUUUGAACUUGGAGAGAUUGAUAUGUUUCAACGAAUGUGCAGUCCAAGAUCUCAUAUCUCACAAUGCGUUCAAUCUUUAUUAGAUUGCAAACUCUGUGAA